rnacentral:rRNA from 1 species
AGGAUGAACGUUGGCGGCGUGCCUAACACAUGCAAGUCGAACGAUCCCUUCGGGGAUAGUGGCGCACGGGUGAGUAACACGUAGCUUACCUCCCUCUCAGCGCGGGAUAACGACUCGAAAGAGUUGCUAAUACCGCAUAAGCUCACGGGUUACAGAGACUUGUGAGAAAAGGUGCAAAUCACUGAGAGACGGGGCUGCGGCCCAUCAGCUAGUUGGUGAGGUAAAGGCUUACCAAGGCGACGACGGGUAGGGACCUGAGAGGGUCGACCCCCCACACGUGGGACUGAGACACGGCCCAGACCUCCGUACGGGAGGCAGCAGUGAGGAAUAUGACACGAAUCGGGCGACAACGCC